AAUUUUGGACAAUGGGGGACACCCUGAUCCAGCCAUCCCGCGUGUAUGAUGAAGGCCUUCGGGUUGUAAAGUACUUUUGGCAGAGAAGAAAAGGUACCUCCUAAUACGAGGUACUGCUGACGGUAUCUGCAGAAUAAGCCCCGGCUAACUACGUGCCCGCAGCCGCGGUAAUACGUAGGGUGCAAGCGUUAAUCGGAAUUACUGGGCGUAAAGCGUGUGUAGGCGGUUCGGAAAGAAAGAUGUGAAAUCCCAGGGCUUAACCUUGGAAAUGCAUUUAUAACUGCCGGGCUAGAGUAUGUCAGAGGGGGGUAGAAUUCCACGUGUAGCAGUGAAAUGCGUAGAUAUGUGGAAGAAUACCGAUGGCGAAGGCAGCCCCCUGGGAUAAUACUGACGCUCAGACACGAAAGCGUGGGGAGCAAACAG
rnacentral:rRNA from 1 species